UGGGGAAUAUUGGACAAUGGGGGAAACCCUGAUCCAGCUACGCCGCGUGUGUGAUGAAGGCCUUCGGGUUGUAAAGCACUGUCGGGAGGGACGAAGAAGCUUCGGCUUUUGACGGUACCUCGCAAGAAAGCACCGGCUAACUCCGUGCCAGCAGCCGCGGUAAUACGGAGGGUGCAAGCGUUGCUCGGAAUUACUGGGCGUAAAGCGACCGCAGGCGGUCUGUCAGGUCGGAUGUGAAAGCCCGGGGCUCAACCCCGGAACUGCAUUCGAAACCGGCAGACUUGAGUACGGGAGAGGAGGGCGGAAUUCCUGGUGUAGAGGUGAAAUUCGUAGAUAUCAGGAGGAACACUCGCGGCGAAGGCGGCUCUCUGGCCCGAUACUGACGCUCAUGGUCGAAAGCAUGGGGAGCGAACAGG
rnacentral:rRNA from 1 species